GACGAACGCUGGCGGCGUGCCUAAUACAUGCAAGUAGAACGCUGAAGCGAGGAGCUUGCUCUUCUUGGAUGAGUUGCGAACGGGUGAGUAACGCGUAGGUAACCUGCCUUGUAGCGGGGGAUAACUAUUGGAAACGAUAGCUAAUACCGCAUAACAAUGGAUGACACAUGUCAUUUAUUUGAAAGGGGCAAUUGCUCCACUACAAGAUGGACCUGCGUUGUAUUAGCUAGUAGGUGAGGUAAUGGCUCACCUAGGCGACGAUACAUAGCCGACCUGAGAGGGUGAUCGGCCUCACUGGGACUGAGACACGGCCCAGACUCCUACGGGAGGCAGCAGUAGGGAAUCUUCGGCAAUGGGGGCAACCCUGACCGAGCAACGCCGCGUGAGUGAAGAAGGGUUUCGGAUCGUAAAGCUCUGUUGUAAGUCAAGAACGGGUGUGAGAGUGGAAAGUUCACACUGUGACGGUAGCUUACCAGAAAGGGACGGCUAACUACGUG
rnacentral:rRNA from 1 species